ensembl:rRNA 5S_rRNA 5S ribosomal RNA
GUCUGUGGCCAUACCACCCUGAACACGCCUGAUCUUGUCUGAUCUCGGAAGCUAAGCAGGGUCCGGCCUGGUUAGUACUUGGAUGGGAAACAGCAAAAUAGAGACAAUAGAUU